GUCGAACGGAAAGGCCUGCAGCUUGCUGCGGGUACUCGAGUGGCGAACGGGUGAGUAACACGUGGGUGAUCUGCCUUGCACUUCGGGAUAAGCUUGGGAAACUGGGUCUAAUACCGGAUAGGACAGCUGUUUAGUGUCAGUUGUGGAAAGUUUUUUCGGUGCAAGAUGAGCUCGCGGCCUAUCAGCUUGUUGGUGGGGUAAUGGCCUACCAAGGCGUCGACGGGUAGCCGGCCUGAGAGGGUGUACGGCCACAUUGGGACUGAGAUACGGCCCAGACUCCUACGGGAGGCAGCAGUGGGGAAUAUUGCACAAUGGGCGGAAGCCUGAUGCAGCGACGCCGCGUGGGGGAUGAAGGCCUUCGGGUUGUAAACUCCUUUCGACAGGGACGAAGCGUAAGUGACGGUACCUGUAUAAGAAGCACCGGCUAACUACGUGCCAGCAGCCGCGGUAAUACGUAGGGUGCGAGCGUUGUCCGGAAUUACUGGGCGUAAAGAGCUCGUAGGUGGUUUGUCGCGUCGUCUGUGAAAUUCCGGGGCUUAACUCCGGGCGUGCAGGCGAUACGGGCUGACUUGAGUGCUGUAGGGGAGACUGGAAUUCCUGGUGUAGCGGUGAAAUGCGCAGAUAUCAGGAGGAACACCGAUGGCGAAGGCAGGUCUCUGGGCAGUAACUGACGCUGAGGAGCGAAAGCAUGGGUAGCGAACAGGAUUAGAUACCCUGGUAGUCCAUGCCGUAAACGGUGGGCGCUAGGUGUAGGGGGCUUCCACGUCUUCUGUGCCGUAGCUAACGCAUUAAGCGCCCCGCCUGGGGAGUACGCCGCAAGGCUA
rnacentral:rRNA from 1 species